AAACUAACAAGGAUUCCCCUAGUAACGGCGAGUGAAGCGGGAAGAGCUCAAAUUUGAAAUCUGGUAGCCUUCGGUUGCCCGAGUUGUAAUCUAGAGAAAUGUUUUCCGUGCCGGCCCAUGUACAAGUCCCUUGGAACAGGGCGUCAUAGAGGGUGAGAAUCCCGUCCUUGACAUGGACCCCCGGUGCUUUGUGAUACAUUUUCAACGAGUCGAGUUGUUUGGGAAUGCAGCUCAAAAUGGGUGGUGAAUUCCAUCUAAAGCUAAAUAUUGGCGAGAGACCGAUAGCGAACAAGUACCGUGAGGGAAAGAUGAAAAGCACUUUGGAAAGAGAGUUAAACAGUACGUGAAAUUGUUGAAAGGGAAACGAUUGAAGUCAGUCAUGCUCUUUGGUAUUUAUAUCAUUGAGUGGGGUCAACAUCAGUUUUGAUCGAUGGAUAAAGGCACUAGGAAGGUAGCACUCUCGGGUGAACUUAUAGCCUAGCGUCAUAUACAUUGAUUGGGACUGAGGAACGCAGCAUGCCUUUAUGGCCGGGAUUCGUCCACGUACAUGCUUAGGAUGUUGACAUAAUGGCUUUAAACGAC
rnacentral:rRNA from 1 species